GGGUGUGGCUCAGCGGUAGAGCAUUCGCCUAGCAUGUGCGAGGCCCUGGGUUCGACCCCAGCACCACA
rnacentral:tRNA from 1 species